rnacentral:lncRNA from 1 species
GGGCUAAGCCCGGGGAUGGAGUCACCCGCCCUCCCGGGGCUAGCAGGCUGGGGCGGGGACGAAGAAAACGACCGCGUGAUCUCUGAGAGGUCUGAUAGCCCAUUCUGCAGAGAUUACAGACAGGGCCUUACAGUGGGUGCCAUUCCAGAGCAUUCACAAACUACAGAGGUAAGUCACUUGGAUCUCCAGUGGCGAGCUAGCUCUUGGUUUUUCUUACAUCGCCUUUCCAGUAUAACUAACAGAACUUCUCUGGGGGGUUGCCAUUUGUCUCCUUUCUGAACUGGAUUUUAGAUCGGGUCAGGGCCCUCAUGUCUUGGACGUGGUUUCAUAGGGAAGUUAGGUGGCUCUUGUAGAAUCUGCUUCCCCAACAGUAGAUCUGAGUGUGGCCGCACCAGCCUGCGGCAGGUUGCUCCGUCUCCAGUUGUCCAUGCACAUCCCUUCCCCCCACCUCCUACAGUCGUGGCCUUGACUCUGUUUCCCCUUGGGUUUCAGGUCCAGGUUGCCUAGCUCAUUUUCCAGUCACUUAGUCUUUGAGGAAAUAUUUUUUAGGCUUCUACAACUAGGUGAACUCAGCUAGAUUAUUAUGUAUUAUUUUGGGCCCUGGGGAAGAAGCCUCCUUUCUGGAGCAUUUCUUUAUCCUCUACAAUGUAAAAAAAAAAAAUGUAAAUAAAAUGAGCAUGGUACAUUGCCA